ACGAGUUAAUGUUUUUUAAAAAGUAGAUAAAUUACAACGAAGGUUAGUAGGUGAAGCAAUAAAUAGUAUGUUUAAUCGUCACUCGUAUUAGCAAAUUCAUUCGUCUUAGAAUUUUAUUUUCCUCCACGAAAAUAUAUAUAUUUUUCUUUGAACGUUUAAAUUAUUAUAAACAAUUGCUUUCUCUGAAAUUUAUGCCCAUUUACAAUUUAAUUCUGUUU